UGUAAAUGAUGAAAAGUCUUUCCCCUGAUGUCACAGUGAGGGUGAAAACUGAUUUAAUGAGCCUGAUGC
rnacentral:snoRNA from 1 species